AGUGGCGGACGGGUGAGUAACACGUAAGAAUUUGCCUUUAGGAGGGGGACAACAACUGGAAACGGUUGCUAAUACCCCAUAUGCUUUCGAGUGAAAUGGAUUUUUCCGCCUAAAGAGAAGCUUGCGGCUGAUUAGCUUGUUGGUGAGGUAAUGGCUCACCAAGGCGACGAUCAGUACCUGGUUUGAGAGGAUGAUCAGACACACUGGAACUGAGACACGGUCCAGACUCCUACGGGAGGCAGCAGUGGGGAAUUUUCCGCAAUGGGCGAAAGCCUGACGGAGCAAUCUCGCGUGAGGGAUGACGGCCUAUGGGUUGUAAACCUCUUUUUUCAGGGAGGAACAAAAUGACGUGUACCUGAAGAAUAAGCAUCGGCUAACUCCGUGCCAGCAGCCGCGGUAAGACGGGGGAUGCAAGUGUUAUCCGGAAUCACUGGGCGUAAAGCGUCUGUAGGUGGUUUAAUAAGUCAACUGUUAAAUCUUGAAGCUCAACUUCAAAAUCGCAGUCGAAACUAUUAGACUAGAGUAUAGUAGGGGUAAAGGGAAUUUCCAGUGGAGCGGUGAAAUGCGUAGAUAUUGGAAGGAACACCGAUGGCGAAGGCACUUUACUGGGCUAUUACUGACACUCAGAGACGAAAGCUAGGGUAGCAAAUGGGAUUAGAUACCCCAGUAGUCCUAGCCGUAAACAAUGGAUACUAGAUGU
rnacentral:rRNA from 1 species